AUCGAACGCUGGCGGCAGGCCUAACACAUGCAAGUCGAACGAGUGGCGGACGGGUGAGUAACGUCUGGGAAACUGCCCGAUGGAGGGGGAUAACUACUGGAAACGGUAGCUAAUACCGCAUUCCCUCGGAUUUGCCCAGAGCGGAUUAGCUAGUAGGUGGGGUAAUGGCUCACCUUGGCGACGAUCCCUAGCGGGUCUGAGAGGAUGACCAGCCACACUGGGACUGAGACACGGACCAUACUCCUACGGGAGGCAGCAGUGGGGAAUAUUGCAGAAUGGGCGCAAGCCUGAUGCAGCCAUGCCGCGUGUAUGAAGAAGGCCUUCGGGUUGUAAAGUACUUUCAGCGGGGAGGCGUUACCCACAGAAUAAGCACCGGCUAACUCCGUGCCAGCAGCCGCGGUAAUUC
rnacentral:rRNA from 1 species